rnacentral:ncRNA from 1 species
GCAAAGCAUGGCGGGUGUUCAAGUCAUCGAGGGCAUUCGGUAUCCCAGUACCAAUGCCCAUCGAUGGCUUGUUCUGAGAUUAUACCGUUUAAACUUGAUCUGGAUAAUUCCAGCGCGAAGGACUAGUGCUGCUUCAUGAUG